AGUGAACGCUGGCGGUAGGCCUAACACAUGCAAGUCGAACGGCAGCACAGUAAGAGCUUGCUCUUACGGGUGGCGAGUGGCGGACGGGUGAGGAAUACAUCGGAAUCUACUUUUUCGUGGGGGAUAACGUAGGGAAACUUACGCUAAUACCGCAUACGACCUACGGGUGAAAGCAGGGGAUCUUCGGACCUUGCGCGAUUGAAUGAGCCGAUGUCGGAUUAGCUAGUUGGCGGGGUAAAGGCCCACCAAGGCGACGAUCCGUAGCUGGUCUGAGAGGAUGAUCAGCCACACUGGAACUGAGACACGGUCCAGACUUCUACGGGAGGCAGCAGUGGGGAAUAUUGGACAAAGGGCGCAAGCCUGAUCCAGCCAUACCGCGUGGGUGAAGAAGGCCUUCGGGUUGUAAAGCCCUUUUGUUGGGAAAGAAAAGCAGCAGGUUAAUACCCCGCUGUUCUGACGGUACCCAAAGAAUAAGCACCGGCUAACUUCGUG
rnacentral:rRNA from 1 species